rnacentral:lncRNA from 1 species
AUCGAGAAACAGACGCUCGACUUUGGCCCUGGUGUUGCCCGAGCUCCUGCACAGGGUGAGUGGACCGGACCCUGACCAAGGGAGCCCGAGGCCUCUCACUGGGUAGGUUGCAGAGCCCAGUGCGGAGGACGCUCUAGAAUGUGCAGAAUGCAUGGAGCUCGUGGAGGAAGCCGCACCCACGGUGGCUCAGCUGUCCACCCCUGGAGAGUCAGUGGGGACCCUGCGGCCACAGGGUCCAAACCUGCCCUUGCAGAGGGGAACAUGGGGCUCAGCAUGUGAGGACCUAAGUCGGAGCCAUGUAUAGGUGCGAGUCAUGUCUCUGUCACCCGGGGGGCCUCUGUGUAACAGUGCUUCGUGGACUCUGUCUGAUGCUGCCGUCGGGGUACUUGCUUCCAUGCCACUGCCACUCUUGCGGCUGCCGUCACCAUGCCAAGAGCCACCUGGAACACAAAAGGUGUGCUUUGGCGACUCUGAACCAGCAUCCCAAAAUGGUCACCGGUCUGCCAGGGCUCUCAGACCCCCAGGCCAGCUCUCUGGUUCCCAAGGCACCCUGCUCUUCCCCCUGGGCAGCGAGGAGUGAAGAACAAGGACCAUGGGUCACCAGAGACGAUUACCUGACCACGCUGCACAGCGCGGAUCCAGGCCUGUCAGUCUGGGUGGCUGAAGAUCACCUUGCCCACCUCUGAGGGUGAAAGUGACCGUUUACCCAGCUCUCUGGGUUCUUUAAUCUGGAUUCCAGGACCCAGUCAGUCACAAGGUUUUCAGGGAAAUGUUUGGGCUAAAUCAUAGAAAAGAUCCUGGUGCCAGGGGCCUCCCAGGUAAGGGGCAGCCUGGGCUCACAGCCUCCGGGCAGCCUGGGCAGGGACCUCUCCAUCUUUCUGCCCUUCCCGGGGCUGGAAUUGAACACAGCAGUGACCUUUGACCCUUUGACUCUACUGUGGGGCCAACCUGCUGGGGACAGCAGAGCUGCUAGGUGGCACCUGGCUCCCCGUCCCUCAUGGCCCUGGGCGUCCUCUUCUGGGCUGCCCCUCACAGCCUGUGUGUGUCCUCUGGGGUCCUCUGCUGGACAGCCGGGCUGCGCUCUGCGGGUCUGCUCUCGUUCCCGGAGGCCAGCUUUCCUCUGGGAUGCUCCUGCACCACGGGAGGAGGAGCGCCCUGGACUGCUCCACUCUCUCCCUGACGGCACCGGGCGGGCGGGCUCCUGCUCUUCUGGGCUGCCCUCCUCCCAGCGCUCUCGAGUUUGCUGAGGCUCUUGCUCCUCAGGUGCUUUCUCUGCCUUUGAAAUCUGUGUUCACAGGCUCCGAAACUGACACCUUCAGGAAUUCUUUCCGACCUGAUGCUUCCAGUAGCAUCUGAGGAGGAAACGGCAGUUUCAGGGGAUUCUGAAGGAGGAGAGCCUCGCUGCCCGGCGUCAGCCUCCCUCCCAGGGGCCACGGCCACGAACUUGGCAGAAGACCCUCGAGGACCUGUUCAGGGCUGCGGGGAAGACGCGCCCCAGGCCACACGGGGAGGAUGUGGGACAAGGCCCUGUUGAAGGGAAGAAGGUCCCUUUCCCCGUCUGCACGUCUCAGGGAGCCGAGUGACCGCGGUCCUCGGCUGACUCAGAUGAAAUCACAGCCAAGCAGCCCCGGAGGAGAGCCUGCGGGGUGACCGGCCGUUCCUACACCUCUGGGUUUCCACCAGGUCGGCUGCAGGCUCCACCCACGCAGGGUGUGCUGUGACGGUCACCAACUUAGGGAUGCCCCACAGGAGGGGCACGUGACUUCCCAAGCCCCACCGAGAGUCUGUGAUACCGAGGACAUGACACCCCAGGACACCAGCGCCCCCCUGCCCUGGUCAGU